ensembl:lncRNA
CGAUAAACAGCCUUUCAUAGAGACAUCAAAAAGGCUUUCAACUGUGAUGAUCUUUCUAACUUAACGAUUUCUAAAUAAAGUGAGGUGUGGAAAACAUGGAAACCGCAGGGUUGUAGACAGCAUCUCACAAAUGAAGAAUCACAACAACAACAACAAACGGAAUCACAACAACAAACGGAAUCACAACAACAAACGGAAUCACAACAACAACAAACGGAAUCACAACAACAACAAACGGAAUCACGACAACAACAAACGGAAUCACAACAACAACAAAAGGAAUCACAACAACAAACGGAAUCACAACAACAACAAACGGAAUCACAACAACAACAAACGGAAUCACAACAACAACAAACGGAAUCACAACAACAAACACAAAAAAGAAGCAUCCUCUGAAUGUAAUUCAACUGAAAAUUGAAUCUCUCCUGUAUCUGAGACCAGGGUGUCUCUUAUCACUCCUGUAUCUUGUCAGACAGGGACAGACAAGAGUAGGAGGGACAGAGAGAGACAGACAAAGACAGACAGAGACAGGAGGGACAGACAGGGACAGACAGAGACAGGAGGGACAGGCAGGGACAGAUAAGGACAGGAGGAGCAGACAGGGACAGGAGGGACAGACAGGGACAGACAGGGACAGAGAGGGACAGACAGGGACAGACAAGGACAGGAGGAACAGACAGGGACAGGAGGACAGACAAGGACUGGAGGAACAGACAGGGACAGGAGGGACAGACAGGGACAGGAGGGACAGACAGGGACAGGAGGACAGACAGGGACAGGAGGAACAGACAGGGACAGGAGGGAAAGACAGGGACAGGAGGGACAGACAAGGACAGGAGGAACAGACAGGGACAGGAGGGAAAGACAGGGACAGGAGGGACAGACAGGGACAGGAGGGAAAGACAGGGACAGGAGGGACAGACAAGGACAGGAGGAACAGACAGGGACAGGAGGACAGACAAGGACAGGAGGAACAGACAGGGACAGGAGGGACAGACAGGAACAGGAGGGACAGACAGGGACAGGAGGGACAGACAGGGACAGGAGGGACAGAGAGGGACAGGAGGGACAGAGAGGGACAGACAGGGAUGGGAGUGUUACACAGGGACAGACAGGGACAGGAGGGACAGACAGGGACAGACAGAGACAUGAGGGACAGACAGGGACAGGCAGAGACAGACAGGGAUGGGAGUGUUACACAGGGACAGACAGGGACAGGAGGGACAGACAGGGACAGGAGGGACAGACCGGGACAGGCAGAGACAGACAGGGACAGACAGAGACAGGAGGGACAGACAGGGACAGGAGGGACAGACAGGGACAGACAGAGACAGACAGAGACAGGAGGGACAGACAGGGACAGACAGAGACAGGAGGGACAGAGAGGGACAGACAGAGACAGGAGGGACAGAGAGGGACAGACAGGGAGAGGAGGGUUACACAGGGACAACAAGGACAGCUUAGUGGUUAGAGUGUAGAGGUGGCAGGUAGCCUAGUGGUGGCAGGUAGCCUAGUGGUUAGAGUGUAGAGGUGGCAGGUAGCCUAGUGGUUAGAGUAUAGAGGUGGCAGGUAGCCUAGUGGUUAGAGUGUAGAGGUGGCAGGUAGCCUAGUGGUUAGAGUGUAGAGGUGGCAGGUAGCCUAGUGGUUAGAGUGUAGAGGUGGCAGGUAGCCUAGUGGUUAGAGUGUAGAGGUGGCAGGUAGCCUAGUGGUUAGAGUGUAGAGGUGGUAGGUAGUCUAGUGGUUAGAGUGUAGAGGUGGCAGGUAGCCUAGUGGUUAGAGUGUAGAGGUGGCAGGUAGCCUUGUCUCAGGAUGUUAAGUUGGUGGUUGAAGAUAACCCUCUAGUGGUGUGGGGGCUGUGCUUUGGCAAAGUGGGUGGGGUUAUAUCCUGCCUGUUUGGCCCUGUCCGGGGGUGUCCUCGGAUGGGGCCACAGUGUCUCCUGACCCCUCCUGUCUCAGCCUCCAGUAUUUAUGCUGCAGUAGUUUAUGUGUCGGGGGGCUAGGGUCAGUUUGUUAUAUCUGGAGUACUUCUCCUGUCUUAUCCGGUGUCCUGUGUGAAUUUAAGUAUGCUCUCUCUAAUUCUCUCUUUCUCUCUUUCUUUCUCUCUGAUGACCUGAGCCCUAGGACCAUGCCUCAGGACUACCUGACAUGAUGACUCCUUGCUGUCCUCAGUCCACCUGGUUGUGCUGCUGCUCUAGUUUCAACUGUUCUGCCUGCGGCUAUGGAACCCUGACCUGUUCACUGGACGUGCUACCUGUCCCAGACCUAAUGUUUUCAACUCUUAAUGAUCGGCCAUGAAAGCCAACUGACAUUUACUCCUGAAGUGCUGACCUGUUGCACCCUCUACAACCACUGUGAUUAUUAUUAUUUGACCCUGCUGGUCAUCUAUGAACAUUUGAACAUCUUGGCCGUGUUCUGUUAUAAUCUCCACCCGGCACAGCCAGAAGAGGACUGGCCACCCCUCAUAGCCUGGUUCCUCUCUAGGUUUCUUCCUAGAUUCUAGCCUUUCUAGGUAGUUUUUCCUAGCCACCGUGCUUCUACACCUGCAUUGCUUCUUUUAGGCUGCGUUUCUGUACAGCACUUUGAGAUAUCAGCUGAUGUAAGAAGGGCUAUAUAAAUACAUUUGAUUGGAUAGACAGGGACAGGAGGGACAAGGACAGACAGGGACAGACAAGGACAGACAGGGACAGACAGGGACAGGAGGGACAAGGACAGACAGGGACAGACAGGGACAGGAGGGACAAGGACAGACAGGGACAGACAGGGACAAGAGGGAAAGACAGGGACAGACAGGGACAAGAGGGACAGACAGGGACAAGAGGGACAAGAGGGACAGACAGGGACUGACAGGGACAAGAGGGACAGACAGGGACAGACAGGGACAAGAGGGACAGACAGGGACAAGAGGGAAAGACAGGGACAGACAGGGACAAGAGGGACAGACAGGGACAAGAGGGACAGACAGGGACAAGAGGGACAGACAGGGACAGACAGGGACAAGAGGGACAGACAGGGUAUUGGAUAGACAGGGACAGACAGGGACAAGAGGGACAGACAGGG